rnacentral:rRNA from 1 species
UCCUUGGGUGGCGAGUGGCGGACGGGUGAGGAAUACAUCGCAAUCUACUUUUUCGUGGGGGAUAACGUAAGGAAACUUACGCUAAUACCGCAUACGACCUACGGGUGAAAGCAGGGGACCUUCGGGCCUUGCGCGAUUGAAUGAGCCGAUGUCGGAUUAGCUAGUUGGCGGGGUAAAGGCCCACCAAGGCGACGAUCCGUAGCUGGUCUGAAAGGAUGAUCACCCACACUGGAACUGAGACACGGUCCACACUCCUACGGGAGGCAGCAGUGGGGAAUAUUGGACAAUGGGCGCAAGCCUGAUCCAGCCAUACCGCGUGGGUGAAGAAGGCCUUCGGGUUGUAAAGCCCUUUUGUUGGGAAAGAAAUCCAGCCGGCUAAUACCUGGUUGGGAUGACGGUACCCAAAAAAUAACCACCGGCUAACUUCGUGCCACCAGCCGCGGUAAUACGAAGGGUGCAAGCGUUACUCGUAAUUACUGGGCGUAGAGCGUGCGUAGGUGGUUGUUUAAGUCUGUUGUGAAAGCCCUGGGCUCAACCUGGGAACUGCAAUGGAAACUGGACAACUAGAGUGUGGUAGAGGGUAACGGAAUUCCCGGUGUAGCAGUGAAAUGCGUAUAGAUCGGGAGGAACAUCCAUGGCGAAGGCAGCUACCUGGACCAUCACUGACACUGAGGCACGAAA